AUCUGUUAGCAGGCCAUAUUUGGCUGUAUGUUUGAGACUGCUGCCCUUAGUCAAAAUCAAGAUUUCCUAUGUUGUCUUGACAUCCCUGGUGUUUGUGCUCUCCCCUUCAGCUGGUGUGUUCUGUGCCAUUGUGUCUCACCCUGCUGACUCUGUGGUGUCUGUACUGAACAAGGAGAGUGGCAGCAGUGCCCUCGGAGUACUCAAGAAACUCGGACCCAAAGUGUGUGGAAGGAUCUGGUGGCUCGUAUCAUCAUGAUCGGUACCCUGACCGCCCUGCAGUGGUUCAUCUACGACUCUGUGAAGGUCUACGUCCCCCUCCCCCAGAGAUGCCCGAGUCCCUCAAGAAGAAGCUUGGCCCUCACAGAGUAACGAAACAAAUAUCGGCUUUAUCAACAAAUAGCCAUUCAAAAUGGCGGCCUUAUCAACAGCCAUAUAAGAUGUAAGACAGCGGCCUUAUCAAACACAUCCUUCAGUUGACAACCGCCUAGCACACCGCUCUCUACCUGCUAUAGUCAUAGCUGUCCUGCCUGUAGUCCACCUACCCUGGGCUGGGCUACUGAUCAGCAGGAUUGGGGUUGAUUCAAUUUGAAUUCCGUGUCAGUUCUAGACUUUAAUUCUAAUUUUCAAUGCAAAUUUUCUUAAUUGAAUGCAAGGUAAUUGGAAUUUCAGUUUACUUACUGAAUUGAUUGUCCCCAGCCCAACUGGUCAUUGGUAAUGACUCAUUAGGCAUACUAAAAGAUAAGAGGGAAGAUGGUUCCCCCAUGUGGGGGUAUAGAGGAAAGACUACGACAUGAAUGCAAUCAGGUUUUAACACCCCACCAUAGUUGGUUAAUGUUCUAAUAAAUGUAGAAACAACA